rnacentral:lncRNA from 1 species
GGAGCUGGACGUGGAUCAUCACCUUCAGUGGGAGCUGGAAGCAGGUCGCCAACUUCAGUGGGAGCUCUCCCAGACUCUCCACUUGUUCCACCACCUGUGAUCCACCCUCCAGCACGUCCUGAACCACGGCGCUCUGCUCGAGUUCCCGUACCAUCGAGGCUGCAACUGGAAGCUGAGCAAUCUCGUCCCUUCUUUAGUUUUGGAAAAAUUAAAAAGAAAGGAACGCACCAGGCUAACUUCGUGGCUGCUAAUCCAGAGC